CCUGCAGGAGGAAGAGAAUGGAGGCCGAGGAGGAGGACCCUCCCCCCGGCACCGCCUGGAGCCCAUGGACACCAUCUUCGUCAAGAAUGUGAAGGAUGAUGGCCCUGCCCACAGAGCGGGGCUUCGCACAGGAGACCGGCUGGUGAAGGUGAACGGGGAGAGCGUCAUUGGGAAGACCUACUCCCAGGUCAUAGCUCUGAUCCAAAAUAGUGAUGACACUCUGGAGCUCUCCAUCAUGCCCAAGGAUGAGGACAUCCUCCAGCUGG